rnacentral:lncRNA from 1 species
AUGUAUAGAUAGAUUGUGUAAGGGUACAAUUGUGAGGACAACAGGAACAUGGCAGAUUAUUUAAAAUCAUACUAAAGAUGAUGCUGUGUCUGAUGAAAGUGAUUCUAAACCAUAGAAAAACGAUUCAAGACAGACAAGAGCUGCAGCAGUGGGUAGAGGACUCCUACAGAUGAGAGCUCUGUGCUCAAGCCUUGCAGAGGGAGAUGGCAGAGAGGAAGGCUGCCUGCAAGCAGCACAGGGCCUCAUCCAGCUCCUGCAGCUGUCAGUCCUCUCAGACCUCAUCCACCUGCAGCUGUCAGUCCUCUCAGACCUCAUCAACCUGCAGCUGUCAGUCCUCUGGGACCUCAUCCACCUCCUGCAACUGGCAGUCCUCCCGGAUCUCAUCUACCUGCAGCUGUCAGUCCUCCGGGACCUCAUCCACCUCCUGCAGCUGUCAGUCCUCUGAGACCUCAUCCACCUGCAGCUGUCAGUCCUCUGGGACCUCAUCCACCUCCUGCAGCUGGCAGUUCUCCCGGACCUCAUCUACCUGCCGCUGUCAGUCCUCCAGGACCUCAUCCACCUCCUGCAGCUGUCAGUCCUCCAGGACCUCAUCCACCUCCUGCAGCUGUCAGUCCUCCCGGACAUCAUCCACCUGCAGCUGUCAGACCUCCAGGACCUCAUCCACCUCCUGUAGCUAUCAGUCCUCCCGGACCUCAUCUACCUGCAGCUGUCAGUCCUCCGGGACCUCAUCCACCUCCUGCAACUGGCAGUCCUCCCGGACCUCAUCUACCUGCAGCUGUCAGUCCUCCGGGACCUCAUCCACCUCCUACAGCUGUCAGUCCUCCGGGACCUCAUCCACCUGCAGCUGUCAGUCCUCUGGGACCUCAUCCACCUCCUGCAGCUGUCAGUCCUCCGGGACCUCAUCCACCUGCAGCUGUCAGUCCUCUGGGACCUCAUCCACCUCCUGCAGCUGGCAGUCCUCCCGGACCUCAUCUACCUGCAGCUGUCAGUCCUCCAGGACCUCAUCCACCUCCUGCAGCUGUCAGUCCUCCGGGACCUCAUCGACCUGCAGCUGUCAGUCCUCUGGGACCUCAUCCACCUCCUGCAGCUGUCAGUCCUCCCGGACAUCAUCCACCUGCAGCUGUCAGUUCUCCAGGACCUCAUCCACCUCCUGUAGCUGUCAGUCCUCCCGGACCUCAUCUACCUGCAGCUGUCAGUCCUCUGGGACCUCAUCCACCUCCUGCAUCUGUUGGUCCUCUGGGACCUCAUCCACUUCCUGCAGUGGUAGGUUCUCUGGGACCUCAUCCACCUCCUGCAACUGUAGGUCUUCUGGGACCUCAUCCACCUCCUGAAGCUGUUGGUCCUCUGGGGCCUUAUCCACCUUCUGCAACUGUAGGUCUUCUGGGACCUCAUCCACCUCCUGCAGCUGGUGGUCCUCUCGGACCUCAUCCAUCUCCUGCACCAGUAGGUCCUCUGGGAUCUCAUCCACCUCCUGCAGCUGUUGGUCCUCUGGGACCUCAUCCACCUCCUGCAGCUCCUUGUCCUCCCGGACCUUAUCCAUCUUCUGCAUGUUUCUGUCCUCCGGGACCUCAUCCAUCUUUUAUAGCUGCCUUUCCUCUGGGACAUCAUUCACCUUUUUGUUCUGUGAGGCCUCUGGGACCUCCGACUACAUCUC